CGCGGACCCGGAGCCGGACCCGGCAGCUCCGGCCCUGCCAGCCCCUGUGCUGGGCCCCCCUGGAUUAAAUGGGGGGGAAUGGGGUGGGGGGUACCCACGGGGGAGGUUUCCAUAGGGAUGGGGGUGUCCCCGUAGUGUGGGGAGCAUGGAUAUGGGGUGGGGGGAAUCUAUAGGGGGCGCCCUAUAGUGGUGGGACCCAUAUGGGGUGUGGGGGGGGGAAGUCGGUAGGGAUGGGGGUGUCCUCGCGGUAUGGGGGUCUGGGGACCCCCCCAAAUAAUGGGGGCGGCCCCAUGGCAAUAGGGGCACCCCAAUAGGAAAGGGACACCCCAACAUGGAAGGGGGGGCAGCCCCAGAAGAAACAGUGACCCCCCCCCAUAACAAAGGGCAAACCCCAUAAUAAAGGGUGACCCCCCCCCCCCAUAAUAAAGUGUGACCACCCGCAUAGCAACAGGUGACCCCCCCCUAAGAAAGGGCAAACCCCAUAAUAAAGGGUAACCCCCCCCCCAUGGCAAUGGGACCCCCCACACCCGCCCCCCCACGACAAAGGGACCACACCCCCCCCCUCCCCCCACACACUGCCAAAAGAUGGGGGGGGACCGCAUACACUUAAGUGCCCCACCCCCAAAGAUGGGGGGGUUGGGGGGGCUUUGGGGGUUGGGGGGCGGGAGACCCCUCCUUGGAUUCAGCCAAAAAUUAAAGCCCCCCCCCCCAAAAAAAUCGGGGGGGGCUCCGCAGACCAAAUGGGGGAUCCCCCCCCCAGCCCCCCCUCCAUUAUUCUGAAUGCAUCUCACGGCGCUGCCUUUGCAUCACCCCG
rnacentral:lncRNA from 1 species